CCUACGUGAGGCAGCAGUGUGGACUAUUUCUCAAUGGGCGAAAGCCUGACGCAGCAACGCCGCGUGAGGGAUGAAUGUCUUCGGAUCGUACAACUCUUUCAGCAGGGAAGCAAGGUCCCUGUGCUAAUCAUCAGUGCAUUUACCGUAACUACAAAGGAAGCCACGGCUAACUCCGUGCCAGCAGCCUCGGUAAUCCGGAGGGUGCAAGCGUUAAGCGGACUUACUGGGCGUACAGCGAUCGUAGGAGGGCUGUCACGUCAAGUGUGAAAGCCUCCGGCUCAACGUGAGAACUGCCUUUGAAUCUGGGAAACUUGAGUGUGUGAGAGGAUAGUGGAAGUCCAGGUGUAGGAGUGAAAUGCGUAGAUAGCUGGAGGAACACCAGUGGCGAAGGCGACUAUCUGGUACAUAACUGACGCUGAGGAGCGAAAGCGUGGGUAGCAAACAGGAUUAGAUACCCGAGUAGUC
rnacentral:rRNA from 1 species